CAGCCGCCGCGGUAAUACGUAGGUGGCAAGCGUUGUCCGGAAUUAUUGGGCGUAAAGGGCUCGCAGGCGGUUUCUUAAGUCUGAUGUGAAAGCCCCCGGCUCAACCGGGGAGGGUCAUUGGAAACUGGGAAACUUGAGUGCAGAAGAGGAGAGUGGAAUUCCACGUGUAGCGGUGAAAUGCGUAGAGAUGUGGAGGAACACCAGUGGCGAAGGCGACUCUCUGGUCUGUAACUGACGCUGAGGAGCGGAAGCAUGGGUAGCGAACAGGAUUAGAGACCCGCGUAGUCCCUGUCUCUUAUAU
rnacentral:rRNA from 1 species